rnacentral:rRNA from 1 species
AUUGAACGCUGGCGGCAUGCCUAACACAUGCAAGUCUAACGAGCGGCGGACGGGUGAGUAAUGUCGGGGAAACUGACCGAUGGAGGGGGAUAACUACUGGAAACGGUAGCUAAUACCGCAUACCAUCGGAUGUGCCCAGAUGGGAUUAGCUAGUAGUGUGGGUAACUGCCCACCUAGGCGAACAUCCCUAGCUGGUCUGAGAGGAUGACCAGGCACAAUGGAAAGGAGACACGGUCCUGACUCCUACGGGAGGCAGCCGUGGGGAAUAUUGAACAAUGGGCGCAAGCCUGAUGCAGCCAUGCCGCGUGUAUGAAGAAGGCCUGCGGGUUGUAAAGUACUUUCAGCGAGGAGGAGUUACUCGCAGAGAAAGCACCGGCUAACUCCAGACCAGCCGCCGCGGUAAUAC